AUGGUGAAUAUUCUACCUACACAGUUUUCUAAUCCAUCAGAUGUUAUUUCUAAGGCAUUAAGGCAUCCCCCUGGUGCUUGCUUGGUCUCCAAAGUUUUUGCUUUUAUAUUAACGCUCUGUAUUAGGCAAUUGAUUUAAAGGUUAUGGUGAUUGAGAGAUCAGAUCUGUCACCCUCCUCCCUUUUUUCCCCUCCCUUUUCCUUCUCCCUUCUCCUUCCCUCCCUCCCCCCCCCACCCAGUUGGUUUCUUCAGUUGGUGACACUGGAAGACAACUCUGAGUUGAUGACUUCCUUAGGAAGCAAUCCAGAGCCUACCUCUCCCAUGACCUUCUGGGCCACUAUGAGAUAUACCCUUCCUAUGCAGUUCACACUAUUUGGAUGAGCAGUGAAUUACCAACUUUAAUCCAGAAUGAUGAGACCAUCAGUCCUUAUCAUUUGCCCAGCCACUACAGUUUACAAACCCCUGAGCAUUGCCAUUUCCCCUGCCAGGGUACCCUGAGAAUUUUGAGGCUUUCUUUUCCAUCCUGCAGCUGAAUGUUCCUUUAAGUGUUGUUUCCUCCAACUAGAAUGAGAGCUCCUUGAGAGCAGGGAUCAAUUCAUUUUUUAUUUAUAGUCGCAAGGCUCAGCACAGUGUUUGGAAUAUUGUAAGGGUUUAAUAAAUACUUUUUCAUUCACUCA
rnacentral:lncRNA from 1 species